rnacentral:rRNA from 1 species
UACGAAGGGGGCUAGCGUUGCUCGGAAUCACUGGGCGUAAAGCGCACGUAGGCGGAUUGUUAAGUCGGGGGUGAAAUCCUGGAGCUCAACUCCAGAAUUGCCUUCGAUACUGAGGAUCUUGAGUUCGGGAGAGGUGAGUGGAACUGCGAGUGUAGAGGUGAAAUUCGUAGAUAUUAGGAAGAACACCGGUGGCGAAGGCGGCCCACUGGUCCGGUACUGACGCUGAGGUGCGAAAGCGUGGGGAGCAAACAGG